AUUGAACGCUGGCGGCAGGCUUAACACAUGCAAGUCGAGCGGAGAUGAGGUGCUUGCACCUUAUCUUAGCGGCGGACGGGUGAGUAAUGCUUAGGAAUCUGCCUAUUAGUGGGGGACAACAUUCCGAAAGGAAUGCUAAUACCGCAUACGUCCUACGGGAGAAAGCAGGGGAUCUUCGGACCUUGCGCUAAUAGAUGAGCCUAAGUCGGAUUAGCUAGGUGGUGGGGUAAAGGCCUACCAAGGGGACGAUCUGUAGCGGGUCUGAGAGGAUGAUCCGCCACACUGGGACUGAGACACGGCCCAGACUCCUACGGGAGGCAGCAGUGGGGAAUAUUGGACAAUGGGGGGAACCCUGAUCCAGCCAUGCCGCGUGUGUGAAGAAGGCCUUAUGGUUGUAAAGCACUUUAAGCGAGGAGGAGGCUACUGAGACUAAUACUCUUGGAUAGUGGACGUUACUCGCAGAAUAAGCACCGGCUAACUCUGUGCCAGCAGCCGCCGUAAUAC
rnacentral:rRNA from 1 species